rnacentral:sRNA from 1 species
GUUGAUGAUGUGACUGUCGAAAUUUCUUCUCAGUCUUAGUUGAUUCCUCAAACCUGAAAGACGGAAUGCAAAGGUGAUUGUUUUGCUGUAGAUGAAGAAUUUUAUUUUUGGAAUCUGAACGGCUGACAACAAACAAUUCUACAAAUUUGGUCUAAGUGAAAUGAAAUUCCCAUGGUUGGCCCUGUUCUGGGUGACCCUUUGCUUGGUUGGAGAUGCCUACCCACAAGGCUAUCAUUACCCACCUCCAGAUGUUAUAGUGGAUUUGCCUUUCUUUCAGACCAUGUAUAAGCCCGCUAAUAGGUACACCACUGUGUAUUAUCCACCCAAAACUGGAAUAUAUAUUCCCCCUGCUGCCUCUCCUGGCAUACGUUCGACUGCAGCCCCCUUGACAGAGAAAACAAAGCCCACACCCAUGUUUUUGAUAAACACACGCACCACAUCCAAAACAAGAUCUCAGAAAAGCAAAUCUUAUUAUGCCACAGAUUCUGCUGCUGGGGAACCCCUGCCCGCUUCACCAUCACCUUCACCUCCCCCCAGCAGCACUAGUGACAUCUAUAGGCAAACAGAAUAUCAGCAAGAAAAAUAUUUUGCUGAGAAUUACAACCGUCCUGUCGUUGACGAUCUCUUGCACAACUCUAUUUCUUCGAAUGAAAUAGAGCAUGGUAAUGGCUA